UGCGGGGUAGAGCAGUGGCAGCUCGUGUGGCUCAUAACCACAAGGUCGCAGGUUCGAGUCCUGCCCCCGCGACCA
rnacentral:tRNA from 2 species